AUGUCCUUGGAUGAUGAAGACAGCUCAUGGAUGUCCCGUGUGUUAGAGAACCAACUAAAGGGUUUAUCUUCUGCUGCUAGGAAGACUACCGGGAAGACUGCAAGCACCCGUCCUGCAUCCCGCUCGUGUGAAGUAAAAGAUACCGACAAGCGAGCUGUCGAAGUUUCAGAUUCUGAUCAUGAGGAUAGUGAUGGUGGCAGUGAUGGUCACUCUGACGAAGAUCUAGAUUUUCACGUUCAUUACCAUGGUUCUUCAGGUGGGCCGAACGCCCAUGAGGCUUCAGGUAGUGGGGGUAGUGCUGGACCGAAUGCCCAUGUUGCUUCAGGUAGUGGCGCAGCGAAUGCAGAUGUGGGUGCAACCAUGUUUGCAACUGCCAAUGUGUCGGUAAGGUCAGCCGGAAUUGAUGCAACUGCUACUGCAGGAACCGAUCAGCCUCUCGAGUCUCAGAUUAUGCUUACUGCACGUUCCGGGAAUGUAUCUAGUGAUGGAUUGCAUAACUAG
rnacentral:rRNA from 1 species